GAUGAACGCUGGCGGCGUGCUUAACACAUGCAAGUCGAACGAUGAAGCUGGAGCUUGCUCUGGUGGAUUAGUGGCGAACGGGUGAGUAACACGUGAGCAACCUGCCCCUGACUCUGGGAUAACAGCCGGAAACGGCUGCUAAUACCGGAUAUGCACCAUGAACGCAUGUUCUGUGGUGGGAAGGAUUUUUCGGUUGGGGAUGGGCUCGCGGCCUAUCAGCUUGUUGGUGAGGUAAUGGCUCACCAAGGCGUCGACGGGUAGCCGGCCUGAGAGGGUGACCGGCCACACUGGGACUGAGACACGGCCAAGACUCCUACGGGAGGCAGCAGUGGGGAAUAUUGCACAAUGGGCGAAAGCCUGAUGCAGCAACGCCGCGUGAGGGAUGACGGCCUUCGGGUUGUAAACCUCUUUUAGCAGGGAAGAAGCGAGAGUGACGGUACCUGCAGAAAAAGCGCCGGCUAACUACGUG
rnacentral:rRNA from 1 species